rnacentral:rRNA from 1 species
GUGGGGAAUCUUGCGCAAUGGGCGAAAGCCUGACGCAGCAACGCCGCGUGCGGGAUGAAGGCCUUCGGGUUGUAAACCGCUUUCAGCAGGGACGAAAAUGACGGUACCUGCAGAAGAAGCUCCGGCUAACUACGUGCCAGCAGCCGCGGUAAUACGUAGGGAGCAAGCGUUGUCCGGAUGUAUUGGGCGUAAAGAGCUCGUAGGCGGUUUCGUAAGUCGAGUGUGAAAAAUCUGGGCUUAACCCAGUGGAGCACUCGAUACUGCGAUGACUUGAGUCUGGUAGAGGAGUGUGGAAUUCCUGGUGUAGCGGUGAAAUGCGCAGAUAUCAGGAGGAACACCAACGGCGAAGGCAGCACUCUGGGCCAGUACUGACGCUGAGGAGCGAAAGCGUGGGGAGCAAACAGGAUUAGAAACCCCGGUAGUCC